rnacentral:rRNA from 1 species
GAAUUUUAUAUAAGUAAUAAAAAAUUAUUUAUAAUGAAAUGAGUAAAGUGAAAUUUGUUAGUUAUAUUUUUUUGGGAGGAUAGUUAAAUUUUAAGAACUUUAAUUAAAAUAAAAUAUUGAUUGAUAAAAAUAUAUUAAUAAGAAUGUUGUUUUAAUGAAAAAAGAAUUAAUUACCUUAGGGAUAACAGCAUAAAACUUUUAGAGAGAUCUUAUUAAUAAAAGUAUUUGU